UCCAGAGAUGGAUUGGUGCCUUCGGGAACUGUGAGACAGGUGCUGCAUGGCUGUCGUCAGCUCGUGUUGUGAAAUGUUGGGUUAAGUCCCGCAACGAGCGCAACCCUUAUCCUUUGUUGCCAGCGGUCCGGCCGGGAACUCAAAGGAGACUGCCAGUGAUAAACUGGAGGAAGGUGGGGAUGACGUCAAGUCAUCAUGGCCCUUACGACCAGGGCUACACACGUGCUACAAUGGCAUAUACAAAGAGAAGCGACCU
rnacentral:rRNA from 3 species